UUUGAAUCUGGCUCAGAACGAACGCUGGCGGCAAGCUUAACACAUGCAAGUCGAACGGAUUAUUCUUGUAGCUUGCUAUGAGAAUAAUUAGUGGCAGACGGGUGAGUAAUGCAUAGGAAUCUACCUAGUAGUAUAGGAUAGCCACUAGAAAUGGUGGGUAAUACUGUAUAAUCCCUGCGGGGGAAAGAUUUAUCGCUACAUGAUGAGCCUAUGUUAGAUUAGCUAGUUGGUGGGGUAAUGGCCUACCAAGGCAGUGAUCUAUAGCUGGUCUGAGAGGAUGAUCAGCCACACUGGAACUGAGACACGGUCCAGACUCCUACGGGAGGCAGCAGUGGGGAAUAUUGGACAAUGGGCGCAAGCCUGAUCCAGCUAUGCCGCGUGAGUGAGGAAG
rnacentral:rRNA from 1 species